rnacentral:rRNA from 1 species
GACGAACGCUGGCGGCGUGCUUAACACAUGCAAGUCGAACGCUGAAGCUUGGUGCUUGCACUGGGUGGAUGAGUGGCGAACGGGUGAGUAAUACGUGAGUAACCUGCCCUUGACUCUGGGAUAAGCCUGGGAAACUGGGUCUAAUACUGGAUAUGACAUGCCACUGCAUGGUGGUGUGUGGAAAGGGUUUUACUGGUUUUGGAUGGGCUCACGGCCUAUCAGCUUGUUGGUGGGGUAAUGGCCUACCAAGGCGACGACGGGUAGCCGGCCUGAGAGGGUGACCGGCCACACUGGGACUGAGACACGGCCCAGACUCCUACGGGAGGCAGCAGUGGGGAAUAUUGCACAAUGGGCGGAAGCCUGAUGCAGCGACGCCGCGUGAGGGAUGACGGCCUUCGGGUUGUAAACCUCUUUCAGCACGGAAGAAGCGAGAGUGACGGUACGUGCAGAAGAGGCGCCGGCUAACUACGUG